ACAUGCGAAAAUUCUGGUAGUAAUAUCAGAAUGCUUUUAUUAGACGAAAACCAUCUAGUUCUUCUCUUCGGAGAGAACUGUUUGUUGGUGACUCUAAAUAACUUUGUGUUGAUCGUAUGACCUCCGUGUCGACGACAUAUCUUUCAAGUGUCUGACUUAUCAACUUUAGACGGUACAUUAUAUGUCUACCGUGGUUGUAACGAGUACAGAGAAUCAGGGUUAGGUUCUGGAGAGGCCGCCUGAGAAACGGCGACCACUUCCAAGGAAGGCAGCAGGCGCGCAAAUUACCCACUCUCAAAACGAGGAGGUAGUGAAGAGAAAUAACGAUGUUAGUCUAAUAUAGGCUGACAAUCGGAAUGGGAACACUGUAAAUAAGUUAUCGAUUAACAAUUGGAGGGCAAGCCUGGUGCCAGCAGCCGCGGUAAUUCCAGCUCCAAUAAGGAAAACUAAAGUUGCUGUGUUUAAAAAGCUCGUAGUUGAAUUUCGGGUAUUUGUUAUUAGCUGGUCUUACUGGCCAUGUUAAUUAACAGAUCCUCAUUUGCUGGAUAAUUGUCAAUGAUCCUUAUUGAUUGUUGUCAAUUGCCAGAACGUUUACUUUGAGAAAAUUAGAGUGCUAAAAGCAGGCUCAUGCCUAUAUAUAUUGCAUGGAAUAAUGAAAUAAGAUCUCGAUUUUAUUUCGUUGGUUUUAGAAAUUGAGAUAAUGAUUAAUAGGAUCAGAGGGGGGCGUACGUACUGUGGUGUGAGAGGUGAAAUUCUUGGAUCGCCACAGGACGAACAGCAGCGAAGGCGUUCGCCAAGAAUGUUUUCAUUAAUCAAGAACGAAAGUUUGAGGUUCGAAGACGAUUAGAUACCGUCCUAGUUCAAACCAUAAACGUUGCCAACUGUCUUUUAGAUGCGGUUAUUCUUAAUGACUCAUCUGGCGGAUCUCGAGAAAUCUAAGUUUUUAGGUUCCGGGGGAAGUAUGGUUGCAAAGCUGAAACUUAAAAGAAUUGACGGAAGGACACACAAGAAGUGGAGCCUGUGGCCUAAUUUGACUCAACACGGGAAACCUUACUCGGCCAGGACACUUUUAGGAUUGACAGAUUGAGAGCUCUUUCUUGAUUAGGUGGGUGGUGGUGCAUGGUCGUUCGUAGUUCGUGGAGCG
rnacentral:rRNA from 1 species